CUCAUUUCUAAGAGCUCAACAAACAUUAUCUAUCAUAAGAGACAGAGAUUUGGAAUGAAGUCUAGAUGUUUCUGCAGAUUUAAGUGUAUAUGAGAAGGUUUGGAGUCCACAGAUUGGAAACCAAAGCUCUGGAUUCUGUUCUUGCGUUCUUGUUCUGCAUAGAAAGAGAAAAUGAUCGCUCCAUAUCCUUCAUAUGUAAAUCUUCAAUGCAAUCACGGCACCAGUCCCUCUUAGGGCUCGGACUCCCGUUGGCAGGCUGAUGAAACGAAGGGUUGUUGUUCUCCCUACUUCCUCCAUCCAGUCUUGGGAAGAGACCUUUAAAGACAAACACCGACCCAUCAGAAGAGCUCAGCUCCACUUCUGUCUCACUCCUUGCUGUUUGCCUCUCAACUGUGAAAUGGGGAUGGUGUUAUUGGCUAACCUAUUGAGUUACGGCAAAGAAUGAGAAAAUAAGUUUCCCUGUAUAACAUCAUCAGCCAGAGGCAAGACCAAAUACUCAAACUCUGCCAGACCCCAGAAUUCAGAUGUCAAAGAAGUUCGACAUGUCAUCACAAGGACAAGAAGAUGAUAACAAGUUUCUGUGCAAAUUCAGAGCAGAGAGCGUGUUUCAAGACUGUCUACCCAGGACCGUUUCAGGCAGUGGAGGACUCAUGCAUAUUUUCAUGCCUGCAUCAUUCCAUCACCGGACAAGGCCAAUGAGCCCUCCUGAGCACCAGGUGCCAUGUGCAGAACACUCACCCUGUGGGUCCUCCCAGCCUUUUGAAGCCACCUGCCCCCAAGAGAUUCAGGCUCAGUAAGCGAGGCCCACUGCAUGGAAUCGAACCGGAUAAAUACCACAAUAAAAGCUGUUCAUUUUAACAAAGAUUUCAAAAAGAAAGAAUUAAAC
rnacentral:lncRNA from 1 species